AACGGAGGGGGCAAGCGUUAUUCAUCCUUAUUGGGCGUAAAGGGUAUGUAGGUGAUGAAAAGUAUUUUUGUUAAAUAUCAAAUAUUCGUUUGAUGCUGAUAAAGAUAUUGAUCAAUUGGAGAUGGUUGGGGUUGGCGGAAUUACUAAUGUAAAGGUAAAAUCUUACGAUAUUAGUACGAAUACCAGAGGCGCAGGCGGCUUUCUUUCCCAUCUGACACUGAGAUACUAAAGCAUGGGGAUCAAACAGG
rnacentral:rRNA from 1 species